rnacentral:rRNA from 1 species
AUUGAACGCUGGCGGCAGGCCUAACACAUGCAAGUCGAACGAGUGGCGGACGGGUGAGUAAUGUCUGGGAAACUGCCCGAUGGAGGGGGAUAACUACUGGAAACGGUAGCUAAUACCGCAUACCAUCGGAUGUGCCCAGAUGGGAUUAGCUAGUAGGUGGGGUAACGGCUCACGUAGGCGACGAUCCCUAGCUGGUCUGAGAGGAUGACCAGCCAGCUGGGAACUGAGACACGGUCGAGACUCCGACGGGAGGAAGCAGGGGGGAGUAUGCAACAAUGGGGGCAGGUCUGAUGCAGCCAUGCGGCGUGUAUGAGGAAGGCCUGCGGUUUGUAAAGUACUUUCAGCGAGGAGGCGUUCCUCGAAGAGAAAGCACCGGCUAACUCCGUGCCAGCAGCCGCGGUAAUAC